rnacentral:rRNA from 1 species
UACGUAGGGUGCGAGCGUUAAUCGGAAUUAUUGGGCGUAAAGGGCUCGUAGGCGGUUUGUCGCGUCGGGAGUGAAAACACCGGGCUUAACUCGGUGCUUGCUUUCGAUACGGGCAGACUUGAGGCAUGCAAGGGAGAACGGAAUUCCUGGUGUAGCGGUGAAAUGCGCAGAUAUCAGGAGGAACACCGGUGGCGAAGGCGGUUCUCUGGGCAUGUUCUGACGCUGAGGAGCGAAAGUGUGGGGAGCGAACAGG